GUGCCUACUUGGGCAGCACAUAUACUAAAAUUGGAACAACCGAGAAAAGAUUAGCAUGGCCCCUGUGCAAAGAUGGCAUGAGAAUUUGUGAAACACUCCAUAUUUUU
ensembl:snRNA U6 U6 spliceosomal RNA